GCCGGUAUAGCUCAGUUGGUAGAGCACCUGCCUUGUAAGCAGGGGGUCUCGGGUUCGAUUCCUGAUGCCGGCACCA
rnacentral:tRNA from 1 species